CCGCGCUCGCGAGAGCACGCCCGCCCGCUGCUCGCCUGCUCACGUGGCCGGCGGCGGCCGCCCCGCUCGGCUCCGGUAUCGCCGGGCACGCUCACGGGCAGCCAGCCCCGCCCAGCCCGAGGCCGCUCUCCUCAGCACGACGCAGGUGUCACCAUCGCUAAAAUAUUCAAAACUCUGGCCUCUCGCUGGCUGUGAGGCCGUUGGAAGAUUCUGGUAAAAAGGCCCUGCAGCCGAUGUGCAAGGCUGUGCUGUUCCUCUGAUCCAACAUUGCCACCUUGUGCUGGAUGAGGAGAGGUCCCUGUGCCGCCGCCCUCCUGAAAUCACCAAAGUACUCCUACAACCCCUCAGGCUCCAGUGCCCUCCUGGAGAGCACAGCUCGGGGUUUCACACACGCCGGGGUCAGGCCACCUCAGGAUCGGCUUCAGGCCUAAAGAGAGGAGGAGAGCAGAAACAUCGCACACAUCAGUCAGUUCCAUCUAUAUUCGUAAAGCUCAACAGCAGCGGCCUGGCUUGUGGCAGAGGACAAAAGCCAGCACAGCGAGCGAAAAGCUGAGGAAUUAAUGCUGAACCGCAGCGCCGAGCAACACCCCCAGUCCCGGGCACCGCGGGCUGCAGCGCUUGCAGGAAUAGCUAAAUAAGAAAUGUGAGUAUUUCAGGUGGCGCCUUCCUUCCCCGGAGCCCUCGUCUCCAGCCCCGCUGCCGCCGCCACCCUUGCCCUGUAUCCCCCUCACCUCAUGGCGGCGGCGGCCCCUCAUGGCGAGGGGGCUCGGUUCACCGAGCCGCUCCUGGCCCUCUCGGCGGCGAGCUGAGGGAGGCCGGCCCGCCUGAGCUGCUCAGUUCCCUCAUGGCGGCGAGCUGAGGGAGGCCGGCCCGCCUGAGCUGCUCAGUUCCCUCAUGGCGGCGAGCUGAGGGAGGCCGGCCCGCCUGAGCUGCUCAGUUCCCUCAUGGCGGCGAGCUGAGGGAGGCCGGCCCGCCUGAGCUGCUCAGUUCCCUCAUGGCGGCGAGCUGAGGGAGGCCGGCCCGCCUGAGCUGCUCAGUUCCCUCAUGGCGGCGGGCUGAGGGAGCCCGACCCGCCAGAACACCUCCAGGCUUUCAUGGCAGCGAGAGCACAAAAGGAACAGGUUUUCCUGCGCUGCUGAGGUGAUUCCACAGGCACCGCCCCGCUCGCUUCGGCCUCUCCCCCUGGGGCGGGGAAAAACCCUCGAUAAUCCGUCACAGAGCGGCGUGGGCUGGGAGGGACUUCAAAUAUCGUCUCGUUCCGCUCCCUGCCAUGGGCAGGGACACCAUCCAGUAUCCCACGUUGCUCCAAUCCCCGUCCAGCUUGGCCUUGGACACUUCCAGCAUCCCUGACAGAGCCAGAGCAGGAAACACGAUCUGUGGAGCCAGGAGGACUGAACUCAAGCACCAGCUCAUGGGAAGCAGAGGGCUGGUGAGCUGCCUCUGCUUGCCCCUGAUGUGUCCCACUUCGGGAAGUAGAAGUGUCAGCUCAGAAAAAGCUGCCAGCAACAAAAAUCCAGCCCUGAAAUAAGCAGAGAAAAAGUUGUGGUGCUGCCAAGUGCUUUGCUGGGAGAAGCAUAAUUCCACACCUUCCCUAGCCUUCACUGGAUGCCUUAACAUCAGCCCAGUGCUCUGUGUAUCCAUGUCUGGGCACAGCAGUGAAACUCUGACCUCCCUCUCUGGGGAUCCAUUCAAAUGAAGUUUUUCUCUGGGCUUUGUGCUCCAGUGAGACACUUCAAGGCCUUUCCAGAAAGCCUGGCAUUCCUCCCCUGUCACCGACAUGUUUUAUGAAAAAUCCUUUCCUUAGGAUUUUUCCCUCCUGAGAAGCUGAGAGGCCUCAGGAACAAACUGUAAACAAUUCUUAUCUGCUGCUGUGGAAUGCAACAGGGGGAAUCUGUGAUUGGUCUCAUCUGGUUGUUUUUAAUUAAGGGCCAAUCACAGAUCACCUAUGCAGACUGUCUCAGUCAGAGACAAGCCUUUGUUAUUCAUUCUUAUUCUAUUCUUAGCUUAGCCUUCUGAUGAAAUCCCUUCUUCUGUUCUUUUAGUAUAGUUUUAAUAUAUUAUCUAUCAUGAAAUAAUAAAUCAAGCUUUCUGA